GAGGGGCAGCGGGGUAGUGCUUGCACUACUGCCGGCGACCGGCGCACGGGUGAGUAACACGUAUGGAACCUGCCCGCAGCAGGGGGAUAAGCGGAAGAAAUUCCGUCUAAUACCGCGUAACAACGUUGGGAGGCAUCUCCCGAUGUUUAAAGAUUUAUCGGCUGCGGAUGGCCAUGCGGCGCAUUAGCUAGUCGGCGGGGUAACGGCCCACUGAGGCGACGAUGCGUAGGGGUUCUGAGAGGAAGGUCCCCCACACUGGUACUGAGACACGGACCAGACUCCUACGGGAGGCAGCAGUGAGGAAUAUUGGUCAAUGGCCGAGAGGCUGAACCAGCCAAGUCGCGUGAGGGAAGACGGCCCUACGGGUUGUAAACCUCUUUUGUCGGGGAGCAAAGCGAACCACGUGUGGUUCAUUGAGAGUACCCGAAGAAAAAGCAUCGGCUAACUCCGUGCCAGCAGCCGCGGUAAUACGGAGGAUGCGAGCGUUAUCCGGAUUUAUUGGGUUUAAAGGGUGCGCAGGCGGAGGUGCAAGUCAGCGGUCAAAUUGCGGGGCUCAACCCCGUACUGCCGUUGAAACUGCAUCCCUUGAGUGCGCGAGAAGUAUGCGGAAUGCGUGGUGUAGCGGUGAAAUGCAUAGAUAUCCACGCAAAAAUCCAAUUGCCAAGGCACCAUACCGGCGCGCAACGGACGCUCAUGCAGGAAAGCGUGGGUAUCGAACAGGAUUAGAUACCCUGGUAGUCCACGCAGUAAACGAUGAACACUAACUGUUCGGCCAGAAUGAUGGCUGAGUGGUACAGCGAAAGCGUUAAGCGUUCCACCUGGGGAGUACGCCGGCAACGGUGAAACUCAAAGGAAUUGACGGGGGCCCGCACAAGCGGAGGAACAUGUGGUUUAAUUCGAUGAUACGCGAGGAACCUUACCCGGGCUCAAACGACACAGGAAUACUUUUGAAAGGAGGUAGCCCUACGGGGUCUGUGUCGAGGUGCUGCAUGGUUGUCGUCAGCUCGUGCCGUGAGGUGUCGGCUUAAGUGCCAUAACGAGCGCAACCCCUAUCGCCAGUUACCAUCAAGUAAAGUUGGGGACUCUGGCGAGACUGCCGGCGCAAGCUGAGAGGAAGGCGGGGAUGACGUCAAAUCAGCACGGCCCUUACGUCCGGGGCGACACACGUGUUACAAUGGCAGGUACAGAGAGAAGCCAGGUGGCGACACCGCGCGGAACUCGAAAGCCUGUCUCAGUUCGGAUCGGAGUCUGCAACCCGACUCCGUGAAGCUGGAUUCGCUAGU
rnacentral:rRNA from 1 species